GCAAAGGUAGCAUAAUCAUUUGCCUCUUAAUUAGAGGCUGGAAUGAAUGGAUUAACUUUCUACAUCUGCCUCUUCCACUAACCAGAAAAUUCCCAUAUAAACGAAGAGGUUUAUAUACAAGCGAAGGACCAAAAGACCCUAUAGAGCUUUAUGAAAAUUAUCAAAAACCCUGAUACAACCCAUUUCACUGGGGCGGUGAAGAAAAAAUCCCUCUUUACUAUACCUACCUAAAGUUUUAAUUCAACCUUUUUAUGAAACCUAAUAAGCUACCUUAGGGAUAACAGUCUUAUUUCUCUUGAUAGCCCACAUUAACAGAGAAGAUUGGCAC
rnacentral:rRNA from 1 species